ensembl:snoRNA
GGUGCUGAAAUUAAGUCAAGGUUAAGAUAUAUUUAUAACACACCAAACAGGAAUCUGGGUUAUUGUGACAAGGGGCACAAAGCUUGUGACCUCCCUGUAAACAAACACCCAACACGU